rnacentral:rRNA from 1 species
AUACGAAAGGUGCAAGCGUUGUUCGGAUUUACUGGGCGUAAAGAGAGUGUAGGUGGUUUAUUAAGUCGGAUGUGAAAUCCCGGGGCUCAACCUCGGAACUGCAUUCGAUACUGAUAGGCUAGAGUUUGGGAGGGGUAAGCGGAAUUCCGUGUGUAGCAGUGAAAUGCGUAGAUAUACGGAGGAACACCUGUGGCGAAGGCGGCUUACUGGACCAAUACUGACACUGAGACUCGAAAGCGUGGGUAGCAAACAGGAUUAGAAACCCCAGUAGUCC